rnacentral:rRNA from 2 species
UAUACUGCAAGUCGAGCGGACCGACGGGAGCUUGCUCCCUUAGGUCAGCGGCGGACGGGUGAGUAACACGUGGGUAACCUGCCUGUAAGACUGGGAUAACUCCGGGAAACCGGGGCUAAUACCGGAUGCUUGAUUGAACCGCAUGGUUCAAUCAUGAAAGGCGGCUUCGGCUGCCGUUUACAGAUGGACCCGCGGCGCAUUAGCUAGUUGGUGAGGUAACGGCUCACCAAGGCGACGAUGCGUAGCCGACCUGAGAGGGUGAUCGGCCACACUGGGACUGAGACACGGCCCAGACUCCUACGGGAGGCAGCAGUAGGGAAUCUUCCGCAAUGGACGAAAGUCUGACGGAGCAACGCCGCGUGAGUGAUGAAGGUUUUCGGAUCGUAAAGCUCUGUUGUUAGGGAAGAACAAGUACCGUUCGAAUAGGGCGGUACCUUGACGGUACCUAACCAGAAAGCCACGGCUAACUACGUGCCAGCAGCCGCGGUAAUACGUAGGUGGCAAGCGUUGUCCGGAAUUAUUGGGCGUAAAGCGCGCGCAGGCGGUUUCUUAAGUCUGAUGUGAAAGCCCCCGGCUCAACCGGGGAGGGUCAUUGGAAA